rnacentral:rRNA from 1 species
GGGGAAUUUUGGACAAUGGGCGCAAGUCUGAUCCAGCCAUGCCGCGUGAAGGAUGAAUGCCCUCUGGGUUGUAAACUUCUUUUAUAGGGGAAGAAAGAUACUUUUUUUAAGGUAGUUGACGGUACCCUAUGCAUAAGCACCGGCUAACUCCGUGCCAGCAGCCGCGGUAAUACGGAGGGUGCAAGCGUUAUCCGGAUUUACUGGGUUUAAAGGGUGCGUAGGCGGGCAUGUAAGUCAGUGGUGAAAUACCGGAGCUUAACUUCGGAACUGCCAUUGNUACUAUAUGUCUUGAAUAUUGUGGAGGUAAGCGGAAUAUGUCAUGUAGCGGUGAAAUGCAUAGAUAUGACAUAGAACACCGAUUGCGGAGGCAGCUUGCUACGCAAAUAUUGACGCUGAGGCACGAAAGCGUGGGGAUCAAACA